CCUACGGGUGGCAGCAGUCGAGAAUCAUUCACAAUGGGGGCAACCCUGAUGGUGCAACGCCGCGUGAGGGAAUGAAGCUCUUCGGAUUGUAAACCCCUGUCAUGUGGGAGCGUAUUAAAAAGUUAGUACCGCAUGAGGAAGAGACAGCUAACUCUGUGCCGGCAGCCGCGGUAGUACAGAGGUCUCAAGCGUUGUGCGGACUCACUGGGCGUAAAGCGUGCGUAGGCUGGUUCGUAAGUCGUGUGUGAAAGCCGCGGGCUCAACCCGCGGACGGCACAUGAUACUGCGGGACUAGAGUAAUGGAGGGGGAACCGGAAUUCCCGGUGUAGCAGUGAAAUGCGUAGAUA
rnacentral:rRNA from 1 species